GUUGAAAUUAUUAACUGAAUAAAUAAAGAAAAAGGAAGAUAUGACAUAAUACUAGGAUACGAAAGAAAAACCCAAGAUUUUUAUUUGGAUGGAAAUACAAUGUGAAAGGAAAAUGUGAUGGCUGCCAGGAAAGCUAAUGCAACUUUAACUCCGUGAAUAAGAGAGCAGCAUCAAAAUAAAGGAAGGCCUACAAAGGUAUGCUGUGUCUUGAAUUUUAGGAGAAGAAACAGAAAAAGGAAGGACGCUAUCAUUACAACUACUGUUUGCUCUCUCCCACUGAGUGGAGGAAAAGAAACAAGUCUCAGAGGUCCAAACUAUAACUUGACAAGAAGCCAGCUGGUACAGUGACGAAAUUCAAGGCAAUAUAACUAAUAAAAAAGCCCCAGCUCUGUUGGCUGAACAUUUUGAGUAGCAGCAAGCUCCAGUGCACUGUACCUGAAACAGUCUCCUUAAAUAUUUGUUAAGAUUUGAUGUUUUCCUCUAUAAUUAUUAAAUGUCCAACAUAAUUUCUCUGGAGGUACAGAAGCAAAAUACAGUGAUCAGAUCCAGAAGAUGAGAGAAAGUAUGACAUGCUAGAUGAGGCCAACAAAACAGAACUCAGUGCUCAAGAGAACAGGAUUUAUCAUUACAGUCUAUCACAGCCUCCCUUUUGCCUCCAGACUGUAAAUGGAACCAUCUUUGGAGUAAUCUGCCUUGCAACCGGAAUUUGGCUCAAAACAGAGUCAAGGUAACUUCUUUUAACCUACUUGCAGCUUUUGACAAUUAAGUGAAGUAUACUCCUGUGAACAAAAUUUGAAGCAUAUUUGUUUCUCUCUACCUAAUUUCUCCAGAAUUUGGAAACUAUUUGACACAAUUGGUGAAACUGGUUAUUUUACCAAGGCAUUGACCGGAAUGGUAUGCUUUCCUUUAAGGAAUUGAACUCGACUUUAAAGCCAAUAAAAGCCUCUUGAG